rnacentral:rRNA from 1 species
UACAGGGGGUGCAAACGUUGCUCGGAAUCAUUGGGCGUAAAGCGCACGUAGGCGGUUACUUAAGUCGGAUGUGAAAGCCCUUGGCUCAACUGAGGAAGUGCAUCCGAAACUGAGUAGCUAGAGUACGAAAGAGGGUCGCGGAAUUCCCGGUGUAGAGGUGAAAUUCGUAGAUAUCGGGAGGAACACCGGUGGCGAAGGCGGGUCUCUGGGCCGAUACUGACGCUGAGGAGCGAAAGCGUGGGGAGCAAACAGG